rnacentral:ncRNA from 1 species
AUAAAGAAGUAAAUAAACUUCUUUUAUUAACAAAUAUUGAACAGGCUAAUUGCGCCAGAGAGUACAAAUUGAGUGCGCAGUUUGGCACCUCGAUGUCGGCUUAACUUAUCCACAUGAAUGCAGGAAUCAUGAAGGGUUCGACUGUUCGUCGAUUAAAAAGUUACACGAGCUGGGUUAAAUACGUCGUGAGACAGUAUGGUUUCUAUCUUCUAGAGGAAAUUAGAAUAAAAUAAGGAUAGCCCCCUCGUACGAAAGGAGCUGGGUAUAUUAACCUAUGGUUUACCUGUUGUUUAUGUGCCCAAUAAAUUCUCAAUAAACUAAUAUAGAUGAGCGAAUAGGGAUGUUACUUUCACUUAAGUAAAUAUUUUGUAUCAUAGCAUAGGCACGGCAGGAACGCUACGUUAGUUAGAGAUAAGUGCUGAACGCAUCUAGGCACGAAACUUACCUUAAGAUAUUCUUAAAUAUACGUAGUUGAACACUACGAUUUUGUA